UCCUGACCUCGAGCGAUCCUCCCACCUCGGCCUCCCAGAGUGCUAGGAUUACAGGUGUGAGCCACCGAGCCCGGCCUUAAACAGGUCUUAUAUACCGCUGGAACCAUCAAAGUCCUUAGAUCAGCUCUAAGUGCUGGAUGGAGUAAAAACCACGAGACGAGAUGAUCUGUGAACAGACUGGCAGACACAUGACAAGAGGGAGAGACAACAAAAACAGACAAACAGAAAGAAUGGCCUUCUGGAGAACUAGUCAAAUUUUUUGCUUAUUAAAGUUUAUUAGAAAUGAACUAAAACAAUGAAUGAAAUCAAAAAUUUUAAACUGAGCCUCAGACUUGAGACCUAUAAAAAGCUCACAAAAUAAAACCCUUGGUUGGGUCGA